UACGUAGGGUGCAAGCGUUAAUCGGAAUUACUGGGCGUAAAGCGUGCGCAGGCGGUGAUGUAAGGCAGUUGUGAAAUCCCCGGGCUCAACCUGGGAACUGCAUCUGUGACUGCAUUGCUGGAGUGCGGCAGAGGGGGAUGGAAUUCCAGGUGUAGCAGUGAAAUGCGUAGAUAUCUGGAGGAACACCGGUGGCGAAGGCGGCAUCCUGGACCGACACUGACACUGAGGAGCGAAAGCCAGGGGAGCAAACGGG
rnacentral:rRNA from 1 species